GUAGAGGCCUUGGGAAAACUGGCCAGGAAGUCAAGGAAUGCACCUCAGGUGACUAAAUUUUUUUACAGUUCUGCACUUGCUGGAGAAUGACCCCAAAAGAUAAGACCAAUUUGUUGACUACCAACUGAUUUGGCUGAGCCAUGGACAGGGAGCAAAUGAGCAUUGCCUUUACCUAUGACAUGCAAGAGGAUUCUGAGACCUACCUGCAUCAGGUGGCACAAGGCUUGGUCAUCAUGUUUGUGUCAGGUGACAAUGAUGCCCGGAUCUUCAGUAUGGGCAGCACUGCUUUGAGGAUCCUGAGCCCCCAGCAAGCUGAGCUGGCCAAAGCUGAGGAACUGCUAGAGCAGCAGCUGGAGCUGGACCAGGCCCUGCUGGAAGGGCAGGAGAGGGUGGUGGGCCCAGGCUCUGGUGCUCAAGAUCCAAAAGCUGAAAAAACAGAUGAAGAGGCACUGAGAGAACCUGGGAGCAGACACCCAAGCUUCCCACGGAUGCCCCCGGCACCCUCCAUCCCUGGAAAUACUGCCCACCGCCCCCCACAGGAACCCCAGGAUCAGAAACACCCCAGCCUCUCCCAGGCCUGGGAAAGCAGAAGAGACCUCCACAAAGGGCUGGCAAUUGGCAGCUUUCCUCAGGGCGCCCACAGUCCUAUCCCAUCUUCUCCACCCGCGGCGCCCGCAGCUUCACGCUCUGAUCCUCGUUGCGGCUGUGGAAGCGCAGAAACCACGUGUCGUCCACAAAGGCGCCACUGAGGAUUCCAGGGCUCGCGCGGUGGAGGUGGAGUUUGGUGGCCUCCAAGUACCCGGGAAUCCGGGCCUGGACCCUGGGAACGGGCACAUUGUGGGCGGGAGAGGCGCAGGGAGCCUGGGACCACGGCCCACUCCCCUGGGGUCCCCAUCCGCUCCUAGUCUCCGAGACGCGCUCGCUCCGCCUCCCCGCAAGGACCCAGCCUCCCGGGCUCCCUCCCACGUCCCACCCGGCCCCGGAGCCGCUCACCCAAGAGCUUCUUGCUGUGUGGGAGGAGCUGGGGAGGGGAGAAAGGAACGGGGACCUGGGGAGGGUGGCGUGGGGCAUCGGCGCCUGGAG
rnacentral:lncRNA from 1 species